CUUUGUAGCAGAUUUCACAUUGGUUCUUUGUUCCCGUCCAUGACAAAAUUGCGAACUACUGCAUACAUGUGAUCACAAAAACGACAAAUUUCACAACUUGCAAAAUAGACACAGUGAUGUUGCUCAACACACUGCUUCAUGAAGGUCUCUG